rnacentral:sRNA from 1 species
UCGAUUGAUUAAAAAAGUUUCGCCACGAU